CAGGGGGAACUGGAGCAGCAACGCCGCGUGAGGAAGAAGGCCUUCGGGUCGUAAAGCUCUCCCCCUUGGGGAAGAAAAGGAGGGGGCCCAAAAGAAAAAGGCCGGACGGUACCCAUGGGAGGAAGCCCUGGCUAACUACGUGCCAGCAGCCGCGGUAAUACGAA
rnacentral:rRNA from 1 species